rnacentral:lncRNA from 1 species
AAGAAAAUAAUGCAAACAGCUAACUCAAUUUCAUUUUACAGCUUAAAGUCUGUGUUUACAGAAAAGUUCCUUCUGUUGCUUUUCCAUAGGCUCUUUAUUCCCGUCAGGUGAUGAACAGAGGAUGAACAGCUUAUGGACCUUAGGUUAUGGGCAUAAUAAAUGUUCAAAACACUUCCAAAAUACAUGCAAAUGACAAAGCUUUACUCCUGAGUGAGACAACAGCCUGUGGUAAACGCAUGUGAUCCUGAAGUUGAAGAUCAUGCCAUGUUGCUAUCCUUAUUUCACAAAAUUUUGGGAAGAUCAUUGCUGUUCUACCUCAUGGCUUAAAGGAAGGGGGAAGAAGCUCGGACAUCACCUGUGAGACUGCUCAGCUCUUAUUGGAGCUCCAUGGUGUUGGAUGCAGCUAAGAGCAACUCAAAGAGUCAGAUGAAGAUGCCAAGAGGAGUAUUUUCACAGAACUGCAGAAUGACAGGAACGGUGAUUGGUAUUUCCCAAGGUCAUCUAGUCCAAAACACCAGUUUGAAGUGA